UACGGGGGGUGCGAGCGUUGUCCGGAAUCACUGGGCGUAAAGGGCGCGUAGGUGGCUUCGUAAGUCCGUUGUGAAAGUCAAAGGCUCAACCUUUGAAUGCCGAUGGAUACUGCGGAGCUAGAGUACGGAAGAGGCGAGUGGAAUUCCUGGUGUAGCGGUGGAAUGCGCAGAUAUCAGGAGGAACACCAAUAGCGAAGGCAGCUCGCUGGGACGUUACUGACACUAAGGCGCGAAAGCGUGGGGAGCGAACAGG
rnacentral:rRNA from 1 species